AUACUACAAAAAACGAAAUAUAGCAACAGGCGCAGAUCGAACUGAAGAAAGCUUUCAGUCUGCUCAGAUUUUCUCGGUAAUCCGGCGACGACCAAAUAAUCCGGCUAUCUCUCAAUCUGCUCCGGCGAUUGCAGAUUGAAUUUUUGACAGGAUAUUGUUUACCAAUCGGACCUCUUUGUACAAUCAUUCUUUUCAAGAUCUAAUCGUUAUUUUGGAGGGUUUCAAUCUUGUUUUUAGGGUUUUACAAGGUCGGAGAGGGAAUCAUAUCUCCGGUCUUAUAAAGAGGUGUGUUAUUAUGAUAACGCGUUCAAAACUCGUAGAGCAACUCAGAGAUAGCCAGAUCCGAUCUCAGCACAAGUGGUCUCCUCUCGUUAUAUUCUCACCUAAACCAAAUCUCUCCACCUGGGUUGAUGUUGCUGUGGCAAUCUUAUGGGCCACACUGUUCAUUGUGCUUGUAACAUCAUCGUAUAUGACCCUCUACUUCAGACAUUUCUGGCUUUCCUUUGCCAUCAUUUGCCUUGGUAUUCUAAUUCCUAUACGCUUGAGGAUUUCUAGGCAGACAAUUGCGAGAAAAAAGGAUAGAAGGUUGCUAUUGCCUUUGUCCAUGUGAGCAUCCACAAUUGGCCAUACAAGUGAAAACCCAGUUAUUUAAUCAACAGGAUUAUUGAUUACUCUGGUACGAAGAAAUUUUGCUGGAACCGUUAGAAACUCAGCAAAGAGCUGUCAGGAUAGAUGCUAUUGUUCUUUUUCCAUCUUUUACCUGUAUGUACAAAACAUAAUUUCGUUACUUUCACAUGUAAAUUUGACUAGUUCAUCUGAGUUCAUGUUAGUGGGUAUUAUGGCUAGUAGAUUUGUAGUUCUCUGUCUCUUCAGACUCUUACUGUUAGAAAUUUUUGAUAUUUUCACCGAAUUGAUAUGUUCCUGAUUCUGCUUUGUGUAAGAGAUACUUUGGUGCUUUGGGGA